rnacentral:lncRNA from 1 species
GUCUGCUUCCCAACCAUCAGUUGACCCAAGGUGCAGGCCUCUGCAGCCCCAGCUUGAGUCACCCAACUGGCCCUGCCCAGGACGGAUCCAUCCUCAGGAAUGGUUCUGAUGACAGAAGACUGUCCAGGAAGGCUGGCUCACCCCAGCUCCCCCUACCUGCUCCUCAGCUCAUGUGUGUACGACCUGGUGACUGGGGUGGGGUCUCUCACCGGCGGGCUGUGGCGGCCCUUGAGGCAGGUCCAGCUCUGGUGGGUGGCUGCUCCGCGUGAUGAUGACCGGCUCUUCCAUCACGUUGAUGCUGUUACACUGCAUGAGGUCCUGCAGCAGGUUGAAGAUGUCCUCUGCCCUCGAGCACUUGAAUGCAAAGAUGCCUGGGGAAGCUCCAGUACAGGGUAACUGAAGUUUGUAUAAACAGAAUGAAAAAGACAGCACAAUAUGUAAAAGCUGGACAGGACCAGAAGGACAGAAGUGGUGAUAUGUGGCUGUAACCUCACACUUGGGAGGGAUGAGGUGCAUGCCGGGAAAAGGCCCUUCAGCAAUCAACCCAGAACACGCAUUGCUUUGUGUUGUCUCGGGAGAGACAGCUCUGUCUGCGGCAGCACAAUCCCAAGGACUCCUGUGCUGAGCAUGUGUGGGCCUGAGAAGCAAGGCCAGACCUCAUGUCCCAACCUCAAGCUCGUGAGCAGCCAGCCUGCCAGCCCCUGAACCCUGGCCACAGAGGGCACAUGGGCAGGGGAUACAGCAUACUCCACUGCCCACAGGUGAAGGUGGACCAAGGUCAGGCUCUGGAAGGUUACGCUGUAUAUGAGAGGCCCAAGAGCCUGCUGCCCAAAUCUCUAUGCAAGCUCCUCGGCCCUGAGUAGCCAGUCUCCUGCCUGACUUCUCUUCCACUGUGCACAGAGCCCAGUGUGUAGGCCUGGCAGCUCAGGAGUUUUGCUAUGCAAAGGCAAUAAGGACCCUGAAACCAUGGC